rnacentral:rRNA from 1 species
CAGCACCUCAAGUGGUCAGGAGGAUUAUUGGGCCUAAAGCAUCCGUAGCCUGUUCUAUAAGUUUCCGGUUAAAUCCAUUAGCUCAACUAAUGGACUGCCGGAAAAACUGUAGAACUAGGGAGUGGGAGAGGUAGACGGUACUCGGUAGGAAGGGGUAAAAUCCUUUGAUCUAUUGAAGACCACCUGUGGCGAAGGCGGUCUACCAGAACACGUUCGACGGUGAGGGAUGAAAGCUGGGGGAGCAAACCGGAUUAGAUACCCGUGUAGUCC